rnacentral:rRNA from 1 species
GGGCCCGCACAAGCGGUGGAGUAUGUGGUUUAAUUCGAUGCAACGCGAAGAACCUUACCAGGGUUUGACAUCCUGCGAAUCUCUUGGAAACGAGAGAGUGCCUUCGGGAACGCAGUGACAGGUGGUGCAUGGCUGUCGUCAGCUCGUGUCGUGAGAUGUUGGGUUAAGUCCCGCAACGAGCGCAACCCACGUCUUUAGUUGCCAGCGAGUAAUGUCGGGAACUCCAGGGAGACUGCCGGUGCAAACCGUGAGGAAGGUGGGGAUGACGUCAAAUCAUCACGGCCCUUACGUUCUGGCUACACACGUGCUACAAUGGCCGGUACAGAAAGCAGCCACUAUGCGAAUAGGAG